UACGUAGGGGGCAAGCGUUGUCCGGAAUCAUUGGGCGUAAAGCGCGUGUAGGCGGCUCGAUAAGUCUGCUGUGAAAGUCCAGGGCUCAACCCUGGGAUGCCGGUGGAUACUGUCGAGCUCGAGUCCGGAAGAGGCGAGUGGAAUUCCUGGUGUAGCGGUGAAAUGCGCAGAUAUCAGGAGGAACACCAAUGGCGAAGGCAGCACUCUGGGACGUGACUGACGCUGAGACGCGAAAGCGUGGGGAGCAAACAGG
rnacentral:rRNA from 1 species